rnacentral:misc_RNA from 1 species
ACUGAAAUACUCCUCGAUAAUUGUAGCCACUGCCUUUUUGUAGUCAACUAGAUGUGCCUCCUCACUACUAUCAUAGUUGGGAUCAUUUGGGUCAAGCUCAGAAUCAGGGCCAGUAUCAAGGAGUUCACCACAUGUGCCUUUGCCACCAGUACCAUCAUUCUUCAUCUCUCCGAUCUUCUCCGAGCUCGGGGAGCGCACGUGCUUCCCGACGACCGGCG